rnacentral:lncRNA from 10 species
CCUGGAUCAUUUCAACAUUAAGAGGUAGAGCAGAUGAAGGGGGACCAAGAAAAGAGAGUGGGAAAGGGUAGAUACAGAGGUAGGAGGAAAACCAUUGAGUGUACUGUGAAGACAGUGCUUCAAAAGCAGCCACUUGAGGUUCAUCGGUAAACAGACCAAGUUUGUAACCCUCAUGGAGCUUACAUACUAAAGCGGGAGACAGACAAUGAAGAUAAACAAGUGUGAAGCAGAAGAAUUGCAGGGUUUCGAGUGAAGGGUUUGGCAUGAUCUGGCUGAAGUUAUAAAAGUAAUACUCUGCCUACUAUGUAGAGACUAGAUUACAGAGGAACAAGGAUGGAAACAGGGCCAAUGAGGAUGCUUCUGCAGGAAUCCAGGCAAGAAAAGAUGAUGGUUUAGACCAGAGUGGUGG